UCAGAGCCGUAAAGAGUUACGACACUCCAAGACUCCUAUGGAAUGGGGAAGUCACGUGGUUCACGUAGUGUCGAAUAGUUCCAAACAGCCCCGCUGCUGCAUUGACUGCAGUUCAUUUCAACUAUUCGGUGUUUCGGAAGGAUUUUCUCCGAACAAGGCUAUCCCAGCAUGCUUUGCGCGCCGGCUGUGGAUUUUCAACAGGCAGAGAAAGGGGAGAGCUAUGAAGUUUUAAACGACUGCAGGUGUCCAGGGUCAGGAGAGGCUUUACCUGUCCUGGGAGAGAGGCCUUCUACUGUCAUCAUGUUAUUGUUAUUUAGCAGUAGGGUUGUCACGGUAUGAAAAUUUAACCUCACGGUUAUUGUGACCAAAAUUAUCACGGUUUUCGGUAUUAUCGCGGUAUUUUUUAAACGGUGUUGCAUAUGUUCAGAAAGCAUUGAUAGUCCUGUUCUACACAAACUG